rnacentral:rRNA from 1 species
GACGGAGGAUGCAAGCGUUAUCCGGAAUUAUUGGGCGUAAAGCGUCCGCAGGUGGCUGUUCAAGUCUGCUGUCAAAUCGCAGAGCUUAACUCUGUACAGGCGGUGGAAACUGAAGAGCUAGAGUAUGGUAGGGGUAGAGGGAAUUCCCGGUGUAGCGGUGAAAUGCGUAGAUAUCGGGAAGAACACCUGGCGAAAGCGGCUCACUGGCCCGAUACUGACGCUGAGGCACGAAAGCGUGGGGAGCAAACAGG